UCCUACGGGAGGCAGCAGUGGGGAAUCUUAGACAAUGGGGGCAACCCUGAUCUAGCCAUGCCGCGUGAGUGAUGAAGGCCCUAGGGUCGUGAACUUCUUUUCUCGGAGAAGAAGCAAUGACGGUAUCUGAGGAAUAAGCAUCGGCUAACUCUGUGCCAGCAGCCGCGGUAAGACAGAGGAUGCAAGCGUUAUCCGGAAUGAUUGGGCGUAAAGCGUCUGUAGGUGGCUUUUCAAGUCCGCCGUCAAAUCCCAGGGCUCAACCCUGGACAGGCGGUGGAAACUACCAAGCUGGAGUACGGUAGGGGCAGAGGGAAUUUCCGGUGGAGCGGUGAAAUGCGUAGAGAUCGGAAAGAACAUCAACGGCGAAAGCACUCUGCUGGGCCGGCACUGACACUGAGAGACGAAAGCUAGGGGAGCGAAUGGGAUUAGAUACCCCAGUAGUCCUAGCCGUAAACGAUGGAUACUAGGCGCUGUGCGUAUCGACCCGUGCAGUGCUGUAGCUAACGCGUUAAGUAUCCCGCCUGGGGAGUACGUUCGCAAGAAUGAAACUCAAAGGAAUUGACGGA
rnacentral:rRNA from 1 species